CUUGGGGCACUAUGGCAUGGGCGCAGCCUGCACCAGCGCUGCCGCGUGUGUGAGAAGCCUGCGGGCUGUAAUGCAGCCUCGUAGGGAGGAUUUGCCGAGUGCUAAUAUCACUCGGUCCUGACGCUACCUACAGAUGAGGCACCGGCUAACUCCGUGCCAGCAGCCGCGGUACUACGGAGGGUGCGAGCGUUAAUCGGACCACUGGGCGUAAAGGGCGCGUAGGCGGUUUGGUAAGUCGGGUGUGAAAGCCCCGGGCUCAACCUGGGAAUUGCAUUCGAUACUGCCUGGCUAGAGUAUGGUAGAGGGAAGCGGAAUUCCGGGUGUAGCGGUGAAAUGCGUAGAUAUCCGGAGGAACACCAGUGGCGAAGGCGGCUUUCCUGGACCAAUACUGACGCUGAGGCGCGAAAGCGUGGGGAUCAAACAGGAUUAGAUACCCUGGUAGUCCACGCCCUAAACGAUGAGAACUAGCCGUUGGAGGAGCUUUGUCCUUUAGUGGCGCAGCUAACGCGAUAAGUUUCUCCGCCUGAG
rnacentral:rRNA from 1 species